rnacentral:rRNA from 1 species
CGUAAGGCGCCGAAUGAGUCAUUAAAAAAAUUAACAUCAUCCGAUCCCUAGUCGGCAUAGUUUAUGGUUAAGACUACGACGGUAUCUGAUCGUCUUCGAUCCCCUAACUUUCGUUCUUGAUUAAUGAAAACAUCCUUGGCAAAUGCUUUCGCAGUAGUUAGUCUUCAAUAAAUCCAAGAAUUUCACCUCUGACAAUUGAAUACUAAUGCCCCCAAUAUCCCUAUUAAUCAUUACGGUGAUCCUAGAAACCAACUAAAAUAGAACCAUGCCGUCCUAUUUAUUAUUCCAUGCUAAUCUAUUCAAGCAUAAGCCUGCUUUAAGCACUCUAAUUUUUCAAGGUAAUAGCUCUGCUUCCCCAACGCACUAACUUAAUAGCAUGCUGGUUGUUCAGAAGGUAGGAAUCUAUCAGGUCAGUGCGGACAGUGAAGCCCGACCAACCGACAAACUCCGAAAUUCAACUACGANCUUUUAACUGCAACAACUUUAAUAUACG